GCUGCCAAAAGACCAAGCAGUGCGAAGCUCUUGGCUGACAGUGGUGCCUGCUAAUUUCCACUGCAAGGAUUUCGUCAACGAAUGUUAUCAUAGGUUACGCGCGACUCCAGAGGCAAUUUGGAAUAUCGGCACGAAAUCGUCGGAUGAAAAUCUGAGGUGCCCGACGCACAACAUUUUGAACGUGCCACGGAGGAUCAGGCAAAAAACGAGAGCAAAAAAGGUGCACGCUGAAGGCGGAAAUGAAGCAUGAUCUGGCUUGCAUCUGGUGCAUGAAGAAAUUGCUGGCACGUUAGUUGCAGUCUACCUCCACCAACAGGGUGGAAAACAAAGGUCGCCAUUCCGAUUAGCU